CCUGCUCGCCGGCGCAUCGGCCCCUCUCACCCGGGAUGCACAGGCGCGAGUGGUGGGUGUGGGAGACCCGCAGGACCCCGGGCGGGGCAAUGUGGCAAUGGAAGGCCCUGGUAGUAGGGGGUUCGAAAGUCACCCUCUAUCCCUGUGAAGCUCCGGCUGGCACCGGCUCCCGAGUGAUAGCUCAGCCUCUGGAUCCCGCCUGUCCUUGGCGGCGGCUGCGGUCUCACAGUCGAGCGAGCGCAGCACUGACACCGGUGGCAAGCGUCCUGUCUUCUGGGGCUCACAUGACAACUCCACAGAGAAGACAGGAGGAGGAAGAUAGUGAUUUCCUGCUUGUCCCUGCUUAUAUUCUGAGUCUGCCUGCCGUGUCACUUCCUGCCUGGAUCACAAGACUUUUCUUUACUACAUUUCCCAGCAUCCUCGAUUCCUAGUCAUGCCUAACUUGCUUCCCUAUUGGCCAACAGUGCUUUAUUUCUCAACCAAUAAGACAUACAUAUACACAGAAGGUCUUCCCCCAUCAUCUCUUUUCUGUCUAAAUAAAAAAGAGGGUUUUAACAUUAACAUAGUAAAAUAUAUAGUUCAUUAACAUUUAGCAAGAUUUAAAGAAAAUAUUCUAUCAUCUAUCUUAUCUUUGUGAGUCUAAAGUCUUAUAUGUAGCUUAUCUUUUAUAAUAACUAAAGAAAACUAUAGCCAUAACUAUCUGUCUUCAACUCCAUCAAAGACCACAGAAGGACAAUAUAUAAACUCUAGAUCUGACAGAGACAUCUCACUACCUGGACAGUCAUCCAAAGCUCCUCUGUAAUGUUGAGACAUCCAUCUUCAGCCUAUAGGCCACAGUGUGUCUGGCAGAUUUCUCAGAGAAGCAGGAACCCUUCAGGACUAUUCAUCUUGUUUUGUAAGUUCAGCAGUCACUUUCUUGUGGGUCCUGCAUGUCCAGUUUAUCAGCAACAAACAGUUCAGGCAAGAAUAGUUUCUUGUCCAAAUGGCUAAUCUUGCCAUGUUGAAAGCAAACUCCAUAGAGUUUCUUCAAUGCCCAUCCUCCUUUCUGAUGUAAUUGGUGUGCCAGGAUCAGUUGUGUCUCACUGUUAUGAAAAUCCUAAACCAUUUAAAAUGUCAUAUAUUCUGUAGGUCUUUGAAAGGUUUGAAGAAUAUCUAUCCAUCUCAAAUACAUCUCUGUAUAUCUAGAAAACCUAACUAACCUAAUUAUAAGUCUU
rnacentral:lncRNA from 1 species